rnacentral:lncRNA from 1 species
AGCCACAAGUGGCAAGGAAGUUUAAAAGCGCUUGGGUGGCUUGAUGGCACAAGAUUUCUGAACGGGCAGCUAGAAGUAAAUUAUCCACGUACUGAAGGACAAGAGUGUCCAGGAAAUAAAUGAGACAGCAUUCUGAGAAGGAUCUAGAGGUGCCACCACGAACAUUCUGAAGGAGGCUGAUAGAGCGGACAACCCACCAAGU